CGGCGCCGGCACUCGGCUGUUGGGGAGUCUUCCUUCCAGCUUUCCCCUGAACGUCCUCCACCAGGCGCCGGUCUCUUUUUUCUGUCUUCUUGUUUCCCUCCGCCGAGUCGGCGCCACUGUGAAUUUCCGUUUCCGGCGGUGUCCAAGUUGACCUGAGGAGUCGUAGUCGUGAGCGGGUUCGGUGGUCCGGCGGGCUGGGGUUAGAGUUACUUGUUAUUGGUAAGUAGCCACUAUGGAAACUAAGGACCAGAGAAACACAGAAAGAAAAACAAUGGACCCAAAGCUGCAAAGAAAAAGAAGCGGCAUCUGCAGGAUCUCCAGCUAGGAGAUGAAGAUGAUGCCCGGAAGAGAAAUCCCAAAGCUUUUGCAGUUCAGUCUGCUGUGGGGAUGGCUUGAUACUUUCACAGGUGUGUUUAGCUAUAGUCUGAUGGUUCUUCCUUUGAUUCUUUUUAAAUAGUAGGAGCCUCUCACAGGUGACAUUUGGAGUCACAAGUCUAGUCCAGCUCCAAAGGACGUGGAGAUGCAUGUUGUGUGGCUUUUACUAAAAUGUGAGAAGCCUUCCCAUAGAAGCUGCCUUGCCUCCAGCAUCUGCACACUAGUUGGUGUUUCUUGCCCAAGAUACAAGAAUUUCUAGAAUUUGUUUCUUCCUAAACUUUAAAGUGUUUCUACAGUGAUAAGUGUGCUUUUUCCCUCCGGAUAUGUUUUACAAAGUUGUAAUAUAAAAUACAAAAAUUACAAUAUGUAAUACUAACAUAGCUUUAUUUAGUGAGUCCUUGUGAUAUUGUUAGCAGUGUACUUUAAACAUUAUUCAACUAAGUCCUUCCAGCUGCCUUACCAGAGUAGGAAUCAUUCCUGCUCUCAUUUUAUGGACAAGAAAACUGAAGUCAAGAAAAGUUACCUCCAAUCAUACAACCAGACUCAGGAUUUGAAGACAAAAAAGCAUCAUAUUCCAGUGGUUGAUCAAACUCCACUAGAGCCCCCACCAAUAGUGGCCAUGGUGACGGGGCCUCCGAAGUUGGAAAGAGCACUUUGAUACAAUGCCUCAUUCGGAACUUCACCCGGCAGAAGUUUACCGAGAUCACAGACCCUGUGAUGAUCGUGUCAGGUAAAAAGCGCAGACUCACCAUUAUUGAAUGUGAGUGUGACAUUAACAGGAUGGUUGAUCUGGCUAAAGCAACAGAUCUGAAAAAUAAAGUACAAAUUAACAACAACAACAACAA